UACAGUCUAGGCUUCUCUACCUAUGAGCCCGGGGAGGAGUCUGGACAUGUUUGUGUCUGGAGGAAGUUCGAGAACGUAGUCAAGCUUCACUCGACCCUUUUUCAACUGCGAGCUUAUUGGAGUCGCCCGUUUGUCGCUCCUUCACGGCCUCCUCAUCCUUCAGCUUGAAGGCUUCCUCUGCUCGGGCAUAUCCUUUGGCCCGAGCCAGCAGAUCAGCGAAGUUUCUAGGAUAUUUUUUCUCUAAAGAGAAUAGAAGAUCAUUCUUUUGAAGACCGCUCUUCAGGGCAGCCAU
rnacentral:lncRNA from 1 species